rnacentral:rRNA from 1 species
AUGGCCACCGAGGUCGACGCCGCCGCGGCCGCCGCCGCCACUGCCGCCGCCGCAGCCUCCUCUCCGGCUACCUCAUCUCCUCUCACUCCUCCCGCUACCUCUUCCCAGCCAAACCCCACCAUCUCUCCCGACACCCCAUCUCUGCUUGUCACUCCCGCUCCUCUUCCUCUCCAGACGGCGCCGCCACCCCACUUCUACCCAACGCCCGCGUAUGUGCACGCCAUGCGUGUCGAGGGCGCUCACAUCAAUCUCCCCGUCCGCCUCGCCAUGAACGGCGCCAACUACAAUGUCUGGCAGGGGAUGAUGCUGGACGCCAUCGAUUAG